GUGCCAGCCGCCGCGGUAAUACCGGCAGCUCGAGUGAUGUCCAAUAUUAUUGGGCCUAAAGCGUCCGUAGCUGGCCGCGCAAGUCCGUCGGGAAAUCCACCUGCCCAACAGGUGGGCGUCCGGCGGAAACUGUGUGGCUUGGAACCGGAAGGCUCAGAGGGUACGUCCGGGGUAGGAGUGAAAUCCCGUAAUCCCGGACGGACCACCGAUGGCGAAAGCACUCUGAGAAGACGGCUUCGACAGUGAGGGACGAAAGCUAGGGUCUCAAACCGGAUUAGAUACCCGGGUAGUCC
rnacentral:rRNA from 1 species